rnacentral:tRNA from 1 species
GAGGAUGUAGCUCAGUGGUAAAGUGCAUGCCUAGCAUGCAAGAAGUCCUGGGUUCAAUUCCCAGUACCUCCA